rnacentral:misc_RNA from 1 species
UACGGAGGGUGCGAGAGCUAAUCGGAAUUACAGGGCGUAAAGCGCGAGUGGGCGGCUUGAUAAGCCGGGUGUGAAAGCCCCGGGCUCAACCUGGGAACGGCAUCCGGAACUGUCAGGCUAGAGUGCAGGAGAGGAAGGUAGAAUUCCCGGUGUAGCGGUGAAAUGCGUAGAGAUCGGGAGGAAUACCAGUGGCGAAGGCGGCCUUCUGGACUGACACUGACGCUGAGGUGCGAAAGCGUGGGUAGCAAACAGG